rnacentral:lncRNA from 1 species
AAAUAAUUUGGGUUUUUACAGCCAGGGGUUACAAUUCGAUGCAAUGAAACAAUUCUAAGUUUGAGUACCACAUUGUUUUCAGUCAUUAUAAGCGAGUUGAUGCAAGUAAUGUCUUCCCUUACCUAUUUUGCCUUUGGGUGUCUUUGAAAACCACAGUGUACGGAAACUAACCGAAAUCCCAUGUUGAUUUAAAUAUUUAAAACGAUCUCAGGUCAAUAUUCUAACGUUAAACUGAGAUUACAGCACUAACUCAAUUCAUUUCAAAAUGGUCAUUUGACUGCAGUCUUUGAAGCGGUUUUUAAAACCAUUUAAAGCCACCAGGUAGCAUCAUUUUUGAUAACAAGGAAACAUGCUUUUAAAUAAGCUAUCAAGUUGGACAGAGGCGCAGACGUCAAAAAUAGAAGGGGUAAUAACUGAAUUUUAGAACUGCAAUACGUUUAUUACGAUCACGUAGUAAGAUAUUUUGGAAGCCGGUGAAUUACACUAAAUAAGAACAAAUAAUCUAAAUUGUACACGGUCUGCACCGUUAAACGUUACGCUUCUUUUAAUCUUCGAUUUUUGUAACUUGAUAGAGAUAUAACAACGGCUCUUACCUCUGAACGCCGCUCUCCCACGCCUGGGCUCUGUUAUCUGUGUCUCCGUGUCCCCUAGAGUCCCGCUACAGGAGCGCCUGUAACUCUGUCAGCCGCAUCAGCUGAGACCUCCGCAGCGACUGACUGCAGUUGGCUCAUCAGCCCUCGAUACUUGUGCUCUGCUCCAGUCUCUGCGUUCUCGCUCAGUGCCAGCCGGAUAGCUCCUGGGGUCAGCGAAACGUUAGCUGCAAGCCGGGACAAUCCUCUGCGAACGAGGAGUGGGCAGUAACCCAAGAUGGCACCUCCUGUCUGUACUGGAGCGCUGGCAGCCUAACUUCCUGCUGGAGAGGCCAUGACCUGCUUGCAUCUGUUCCCGUAGCACGGUAUUUAGUGGAGCGUGGCCAUAUUUUUCUGUCUCGUGAGCUGUAACUGGAGUAGAUGACAAAUCCAAAUAUAUUCCCCCCCCCUUCAUCAGCUGCUCUGUUC